AGUCGAGCGAGACCUUCGGGUCUAGCGGCGGACGGGUUAGUAACGCGUGGGAAUAUACCCUUCACUACGGAAUAGCCUCGGGAAACUGGGAGUAAUACCGUAUACGCCCUUUUGGGGAAAGAUUUAUCGGUGAAGGAUUAGCCCGCGUCUGAUUAGAUAGUUGGUGGGGUAAUGGCCUACCAAGUCUACGAUCAGUAGCUGGUUUGAGAGGAUGAUCAGCAACACUGGGACUGAGACACGGCCCAGACUCCUACGGGAGGCAGCAGUGGGGAAUCUUAGACAAUGGGCGCAAGCCUGAUCUAGCCAUGCCGCGUGAGUGACGAAGGCCUUAGGGUCGUAAAGCUCUUUCGCCAGAGAUGAUAAUGACAGUAUCUGGUAAAGAAACCCCGGCUAACUCCGUGCCAGCAGCCGCGGUAAUACGGAGGGGGUUAGCGUUGUUCGGAAUUACUGGGCGUAAAGCGCACGUAGGCGGAUUGGAAAGUAUGGGGUGAAAUCCCAGGGCUCAACCCUGGAACUGCCUUGUAAACUCCCAGUCUAGAGUUCGAGAGAGGUGAGUGGAAUUCCAAGUGUAGAGGUGAAAUUCGUAGAUAUUUGGAGGAACACCAGUGGCGAAGGCGGCUCACUGGCUCGAUACUGACGCUGAGGUGCGAAAGUGUGGGGAGCAAACAGGAUUAGAUACCCUGGUAGUCCACACCGUAAACGAUGAAUGCCAGACGUCAGGGGGCUUGCCCUUUGGUGUCACACCUAACGGAUUAAGCAUUCCGCCUGGGGAGUACGGUCGCAAGAUU
rnacentral:rRNA from 1 species